AGAUGAGAAGGGGCCGCCGUCAGUAACGGAGGCUCUUUACUUCGUGUGCUCAUUGAGCCCCCUAAUCUUGUUUUCAAAAGUCAGGCUGAAUUUGGCUGGUUCAGGUACCAUUUUUUUUAACAAAAAGACUCUUACUUCAUGACAUCAGGGAUCUUCCUGAAGUAGGGAUUGAACUCCCAUCUCCUCGUCCCCUGCAUUACAGGCAGAUUCUUUACCACUGAGCCACCUGGGAAGACCAGGGCUGUGGGCUCUGUGUGAAGGCCGUUCUCUAGCUGCCCUGUGUGGCUCCUCUUGUUGUGGAGCAGAGGACCUCGGUGUGCAGGUUUCAGCAGUUGCGGUGCACAGGCGGAGUUGUCCCACUUUACAUGGAUUCUUCCUGGACCAGAGAUUGAACCCAUGUCCCCUGCAGAUCGAACCCACGUCCCCUGGAUUGGCAGGCAGAUUCUUAAGCACUGGACCACCAGGGAAGUCCUCACAAACAUUUAAGCUACGGAAUAUCAC
ensembl:lncRNA